rnacentral:rRNA from 1 species
CAUGGCCGUUCUUAGUUGGUGGAGUGAUUUGUCUGGCUAAUUCCGUUAACGAACGAGACCUUAACUUGCUAAAUAGUUACGCGAAUCUCGAUUCGUGGUAAACUUCUUAGAGGGACUGUUGGUAUCCAACCAAAGUCAGGAAGGCAAUAACAGGUCUGUGAUGUCCUUAGAUGUUCUGGGCCGCACGCGCGCUACACUGAUGCAUUCAACGAGUGGACCUUGGCCGAGAGGCCUGGGAAAUCUGUGAAGGUGCAUCGUGAUAGGGAUAGA